GUUACGGUGACGUGAUAGCUGAAAGCAGUGGAUAGCAAAUCUCUGGUCCGACGAACAGAAAUCAUCUAUAGGCGAACUAGGUGGAUAAGAGUGCAAAUUAACUCAAAGUCCAAUAAUUAGACGGAACCUAGUGUGUAAAGAUGGCGGAUAGAUGGAGUGAAAGAUAAUGUU
rnacentral:ncRNA from 1 species